AGGAUUUAAGAUUUAAUUAGUUUUGGCCUAUAGUCUGAAUGAAGUUCAAUAGGAUUUUAACUAGAAUUAAAUUAAGAUUGAAUUGAGAUGUAUUUGAAUGAUAUUUGUGAUCCUUCUAAUAUUUUUUUAAGAAUUCUUAUUAUUUGUUUGAAAUUUCUUUGAGGUUUUUUUGAAUUUGAUUAAGCUUGCUUAGCAUUAUUAUGGUCUAAUUA
rnacentral:lncRNA from 1 species